GACGAACGCUGGUGGCGUGCUUAACACAUGCAAGUCGAACGAUGAAGCCUUAGCUUGCUUUGGUGGAUUAGUGGCGAACGGGUGAGUAACACGUGAGCAACGUGCCCAGGACUCUGGAAUAACCGCGGGAAACCGUGGCUAAUACCGGAUAGGUGCCGAGGCCGCAUGGUCUUCGGUUGGAAAGUUUUUGCGGUUCUGGAUCGGCUCACGGCCUAUCAGCUUGUUGGUGGGGUAAUGGCCUACCAAGGCGACGACGGGUAGCCGGCCUGAGAGGGUGACCGGCCACACUGGGACUGAGACACGGCCCAGACUCCUACGGGAGGCAGCAGUGGGGAAUAUUGCACAAUGGGCGCAAGCCUGAUGCAGCAACGCCGCGUGGGGGAUGACGGCCUUCGGGUUGUAAACCUCUUUUAGUAGGGAAGAAGCGCAAGUGACGGUACCUGCAGAAAAAGCACCGGCUAACUACGUG
rnacentral:rRNA from 1 species